CCAAAGGCUCUUUUCAGAGCCAUAAAAAAAUAAAUAAAAAAAAGAAU
rfam:Myotis davidii contig39228, whole genome shotgun sequence.